rnacentral:misc_RNA from 1 species
ACACCUCAACUCACAUGGUUUGCCAUGAUGAGCUUGGACUUUGGGGGUUUUGCUGGCCUGCAGUCAGCUCCUCUCAAACGGAUCAGCUUACCAGUAUUUGGUGGCGUCAUGGGUGUGAUAAUUAUCUACACUUGUGGUUGUCUGCUGAGUAACCUUUGGCAACAGGGGUUUGCUGGAGCUUAUAAAUGUCUCUCCCCAGCGAAGACAGCUUUUUGACC